rnacentral:rRNA from 1 species
GAGUUUGAUCAUGGCUCAGAAUGAACGCCGUCGGCACGCUUAACACAUGCAAGUCGAACGAGAUCUUCGGAUCUAGUGGCAGACGGGUGAGUAACGCGUGGGAACCUGCCCAGUAGUAGAGAAUAACUUGGGGAAACUUAAGCUAAUACUUUAUACGUCCUUCGGGAGAAAGCUUUAUGCGCUAUUGGAUGGGCCCGCGUUAGAUUAGUUUGUUGGUGAGGUAAUGGCUCACCAAGGCGACGAUCUAUAGCUGGUCUGAGAGGAUGAUCAGCCACACUGGGACUGAGACACGGCCCAGACUCCUACGGGAGGCAGCAGUGGGGAAUAUUGGACAAUGGGGGCAACCCUGAUCCAGCGAUGCCGCGUGAGUGAUGAAGGCCCUAGGGUUGUAAAACUCUUUCGUCAGGGAAGAUAAUGACGGUACCUGAAGAAGAAGAUCCGGCUAACUCCGUGCCAGCAGCCGCGGUAAUACGGAGGGGUCUAGCGUUAUUCGGAAUUACUGGGCGUAAAGCGAGCGUAGGCGGAUUUGUAAGUUGGAGGUGAAAUCCCAGAGCUUAACUCUGGAACUGCCUUCAAAACUACAUUUCUUGAGUUUGGUAGAGGAGAGUGGAAUUCCUAGUGUAGAGGUGAAAUUCGUAGAUAUUAGGAGGAACACCAGUGGCGAAGGCGACUCUCUGGGCCAAUACUGACGCUGAGGUUCGAAAGCAUGGGUAGCGAACAGGAUUAGAUACCCUGGUAGUCCAUGCAG